GGACGAACGCUGGCGGCGUGCCUAAUACAUGCAAGUCGAGCGCGGGAAGCAAGCUGAUCCUCUUCGGAGGUGACGCUUGUGGAACGAGCGGCGGACGGGUGAGUAACACGUGGGCAACCUGCCUGUAAGACUGGGAUAACCCCGGGAAACCGGGGCUAAUACCGGAUAAUACUUUUCAUCACCUGAUGGAAAGUUGAAAGGUGGCUUCUUGCUACCACUUACAGAUGGGCCCGCGGCGCAUUAGCUAGUUGGUGAGGUAACGGCUCACCAAGGCAACGAUGCGUAGCCGACCUGAGAGGGUGAUCGGCCACACUGGGACUGAGACACGGCCCAGACUCCUACGGGAGGCAGCAGUAGGGAAUCUUCCGCAAUGGACGAAAGUCUGACGGAGCAACGCCGCGUGAGUGAUGAAGGUUUUCGGAUCGUAAAGCUCUGUUGUUAGGGAAGAACAAGUGCCGUUCGAAUAGGGCGGCACCUUGACGGUACCUAACAGAAAGCCCCGGCUAACUACGU
rnacentral:rRNA from 1 species